GAAGCUUGAAGAUCAUCAACCACCAUCCCUACUUCAAAUGGAGUUACAAAGCAUAGACAGAUUCUCAGAGAGUAGUCGUCCACAGGUGCAUCAGGAGGUGGUGACGGUGAGAGAUCAGCUGGAGAAAAAAGAGCGGGAUCUAGGAUUGUCGAGUCAAAGUGAGAGGAGACAAAGCCAGAGAUUCAUGACGAAGACAAGAUAGACAAAUUUACAAGGGAAGACAUUGGUUUUUGUUUCUACGUACAUACACAUUUUCAGCUAAAUGACAGGCUUUCCUAUUUAUUAUUAUAUCUACUCUCUUAUAUGCUUCGUGAAAGCACUAUGUUAUGUUGAUCUAGGACGUAAAAUGUAAUUUAUGUCAAUUUUCUCGGAAUAAUGAACAUGUUGUAAAGAGAGAUUUUUGUUUUUGAGGAAACAACAGUUGUAGCUA